GGAGGGCAUGGCUCAGUGGAAGAGCCCCCGCCUGUCAAGAAGAAGGUCCCGGGUUCAAUUCCCAGCAUUUCCA
rnacentral:tRNA from 1 species